GAUAUCUCAAGAACAAAGACGUGCGAACGUGCGAAGUGUUAAUUACUUUACUAGAGUCGAGAGUUGGACAUUAUCAAGUGGAGAUUGUAUUAGCUGUUAUUUCUUCGAACUACCCACAUAUAAGCUACGUAAAGUGAUUUGGAAUAGUUGGUGUUUUGAAAAUUAAGACAUUUAAAUCAUUAUUCUGCUUACGUUUUAUAGUAAUUUGAACAAUAUAGAUAGAAGUUUAUUUAUUUUUUAUGUAAAUUGCUACGUUUAUUGUCUGGUGAUUGUUGGUCUUUUUAUUUGUUACAAAUUGAUGUGCAUGUUUAAAUUGUUGUGAUCCUUUACUUGUUUGGUUAUAUAUUUUGUUGUGCUUUGAAUCAUUUACACAUUGCAUUACUAGUGAGUACAAUGGGAAGACCUGGCCGAAAGAGGCGCGAUUCAGUCGAAGGUAGUAGUUACUCGAAUUCAGGGGGUCUACUCUAAUUCAACGAAAAACGAAGUUUCGUACGAAAUUUCGCGAACUUCUUACCACGGUUCCAUUUCGUUCCGAAAUUUCGUACGAACGAAGAUUGUUUGACGUUUAUUGUCUAUAAACCUACUCUAAUUCGAAAUGCUACGAACGAAUAUUUGAUUUUGACAGACGAAACUUCGGAAUUUUAACCUCAAAUUCAACGAAACCAAAAGAGUUGUCGUUUGAUUUUCGUAUUAGUUUUCGUUUUGUGAAUUUUGUAUGAAAAUUAUUGGCAAAGGCUACAAUAAUGCUUUAAAUCAAAGCAGAUUUACGUGAAGAUCGUGUAGACAGAAGAAGGAACCGGCAGUGCUUGCGCAAUCAAUUAAAUAUUAGCAAAAUUCCCGACGUAGUGUUUGUAGGAAAUCACACGACUCAGUCGGCAAUUUUUCGAAGAGUUGAGCCAGGAAUUCGUGCCUUUAUUAUCUCCAAACAACACAUAUUGUAAUUGUUAGACCUUCUGGAGCAUGAGGAACAAUAUUUUAAUCGAAAAUAUUUUCAUUCUCUUAACACCCAAGUUGUAAGUACCUAUAAGAACUAAACAUCAAUGAUUUAAUUGAGGCAUUGACUGUUGUUUAUUAUGAUGCUGAUCAAUCCUUUAUUAUUUUGCAGAUAUGUGACAGUGAUUGCUAUACCCAUAACAAAUGUGAAUGUGUCAUUUGGUGGAGCAACACAUGAUGCUUAUAUUCGGAGAGAGUGUGAUGUUAGAAGCCACUUGGAAGGUCUCCAGAAUUAAACAGUUUAUCUAUUAGGUGACUCUGGGUAUGCUCUAAGGGAGCAUAUGAUGACACCUAUAGAUAAAGCUCUUGAAGGCAGAUACAACUUUGCAGAGCUUUGUUAGUGCACAUUUUGGAAGGAAUAGGUAGGACAAAGUUCUACUCGAGCACAUCAUAACAUGUUCAACUAGAACUAUAUUAAUUAUCGAUUUUAAGAAUUUGACAUGAUAUUAUUACUUUUAAUAAAAGAGAGUUUAAUAAAAGAAUAAAAUAUAUGCUUAAA